AUGUUUUUAAAGCUGAAAUGUGUGAUUGAUCAUCAAUCAAGCACCAAUUGCUAAAAUAUGAAAAUGGAAGGACAUGUAGAAUGAAUCACUACUUUUGUUUUCCCCAGUUGAUCUUUGAAAUUAUUCAGGGUGAUAAUUGCAUUUUCUGUAAUAUUCUAUUUCAAAUAUUGUAAAGUGGGUCUUGGAGUGUUGGGUUCAAAGUCAAUCUGUUGUAUGUAAGACAAUGUGUCUGGCCAUCUGGUAGAGAUAGGGUCCACGGCACACAUACCUCACCGUCUGGCCUAGGAGGCUCCCUGUACAGUUGAUUCAGAGUUAAACCACAAUAAGACAACAAUAGAAGAGGUGGGGGUAAUACAAGCCAGCACGCCACACAUUGCCUGAUGAAUGAUCCAGUGAGGCUUUCAAAGCAAGGCGGGAUUUCUCUGGUUGCAGUGGGCUGGAGAAGGUAACUAUACUUAGCAGAUACUGCUUUUCUAUUUGCCAGCCCACACUGUCAAUGGUGGAAAACAGUCAUUAUCAUAUCCCUUCUUGGAUGGGAAUUGCCACAAAAUAGUUCACUUGGUAAAAGCCUGUCUGAGGUGAACCAGGCACGAACGGUGUGUAUUUAACAUGUGGUGUAAGGUUGCACCAACAACAGUAAAGGAAUAAAGUUCAAUUUGAAUAAAGCAAGAGGAAACCGGAUCACCCUUGGGUUCAUGUCAGUGGUUGCUUCACAGUUUCUCAAUUCUGAAGCCAUGCUGCUGAUAGGGACCUAGAAUCACCAACUAACUCCAGUAGAAGUUUAAAGGACACUUCCAUACGGAGCCCCUAUAGAGCAAGGUGGGCACUUCAUGCACCCAACUUUUAAGUAUAUACAUUCCCUCCUGACAAAGUUAGAUUUUACAGAUGCCGUGGCAAAUGUGCACUCAGUGCUAACAAAUUAGGAUAUCAGGCCUGUAUUAAUGCUUUCAUUUUCCAAUUAUUUUUUAUUACAUUUAACAGCUGACUUCAAAAGAGCUGAGGACACACAGAGGAAUAGGGUGACCCAGCAUCGCAAUUUGCCAGCGAGUAGGGGAUUUCUUAGGAUGCGGGACUUUAAGUGUUAAAACCAGGGCAGUCAGUGGAAAACCAGGAUCAUUGGUCACCUUACACAGGGAUGACUUGAAGGUAACAUUUUUAUUAAGUAAGUUUUGCACUUUUGGAUAAUUUUUGAACCAUCUCAUUUAAGGAGAACUUCGAUGAAAUAGCUUCCAUGUCUUCCUGAGGAGGAACGCUUUGUGUUGAGGGUGGUAGGUGGUGGGAAGAUGGGGAAGCCUCCAGUGGGAGGCUGGAGGUUGCUUUCAGCCCCAUUUGCUUCUCCCAAGGGAAAGCUAAGGGACAAGGGGAGACAGGCGAUUCUAUAACCAAAGCCAUUUUUCUUGUGAUUUCUUGCUGUCUAAACUCCAUGAGGCUAAGGCUAGAGUUACAUUGCUAAGCUGUCCCAGAGGUCAGAUCACUUGGCUCUUUUAAUCUUUACUUAAAUAAUCUUUAAUUAUUUGCUCUUCAUUUUUCCUGGAAUGUCAACAACCCUACUUUGUCUCCACCUAUGGAAAUCUUGUGGCCUGCACUCAAUUGUUCCCACCUCUGGAAGGCUACCUUCAAACUCCCAGGUAGAGUCAAUUCCCUUUCCUGUGGGCUUCUAGAAUAUUAUGGUCCUAUAACACUUAUCACACUAUAUCAUGGUUAGCUAUUUGUCCAUCUUUCUGCUGAACUAUACAGUUUACUCCAGUUGAGGAACUGGAGGCUCUUUGGAACUCAGCAAAGAGAAGGCAUCUGAUUUAGCUACUAAUCAAACUAAAUUGACAUGAUUCCAAUAACAAAAGUUUCUAUUAGUAACAAGAAAGCCCUGCUAGGAUUCUCCUGGCAUUUUGAGGAAAAGACCAUAUGCAUAAUAAAAUCUCGUGUAUCUUAAAUGGAAUUCCACAUUUUAGUGCUGAAAUUCACGAUUUCCCAACCACAAUUGGGAAACUGACAGAGUGGAGGAGGAUGGGAAUAUGGAGGGAGUGGGGAGCGAUGGUUAGGGGUAGUGACAGCACCCGCACCAUGGAUUGGAAAACAUUCCAGCACUCACAGGAUUAGCCAUCGUAGCCAGUGCUGCUGGGAGUCUGCCCCAAGCCCUGUGAAUGUUCUGCACUGCUUCUGAGAGCCCAUUCCGGUGCUUCUGUGUGUGUAUUAAUUUUAACAGCCUGCUGCCCCUACCACCAUCUUCAUAAGAUUGCCCUCGGGCUAUGGGAGCCGCUUCCACUUCCGUUGUGGAUGCAGGAAGCCAGAGCCCUUGGGAAAUUGCAUGUUUCCUUUCUACUCUCAGUCAAAGACUGAUGGGCAGCAUCACGGAAGCCCAGCUCUCUUACCGAGGAUGCUAUUUUCACUCCAGAACUCCCUCCCCAGGAUUAGGCAGGGACUGGGUCUUGUCCUUGUCCUAAAAUUGUACCCCAGCUUCUUCCCUUGCUAACUUGCUUUCCCCACACCACUUUGGGUUCCUCCUGGGAGUACUACUUUAAUAAAUUGCGUGUGCAUUUUUGUUUCAACGUCUACUUCCAUAUAAUCUAACCCCAGACAAGAUUUUAAUUUUGUGGCUUCCUAGAGCAAGCUUCUUGCUAGAAAGACCCAAAGGCAAGUAGGUCCUCACCUCUGGCCUGUGAGGUCUGGCAAUGGGUACACGUUAUUCUUCAAGACUCACCUAUAUUCAAGGGAUCAUUUUCAAUACUUCUAGGAUAAGGAUGGUGAGAACAAACUGGAGACAGCUGGCCAUAUCAUGCUGCACCUGUGGAGGGCUUGUUAAGCUGCUAGAUUCACGGGAGAGUCUGAUGAAGUUUUAAGAACUGUUGUAAGCUUCCAUAAAUAGCUCCAUAUCUAACCCAACUUAAAUAGAAUUUAUUCCAAGGUAAAAAUAUUUUUUUCCCUCUCAUCACACUUUAAGGUUUUUUAUGUCUUGAUUCAAGCCAAGAUGAGGAUUGGAAACAUUAUAGCAAUUUUAUUUUCUUUUUUGGAAAUUAUUCUUGGGAAACAGUUCUCUUGAAAAAAUUGGUUCUUAUUAACUUUUCUGCCCAGUAUUCAGAUGUCUUUUCAGAUCUUUGUAGAAAGAUUCAGACUUCUAUGUAUUUUCUAUGCAAAUUUGACACAUGUAAGAGUAUUUCUUUCAGUUAACUGUAGAGAUGGGGGUGGGGGAGCAGAAAGAAAGAAACACAAUUUGCUGAACAGUCAUUUAUAUUUGUUUUUAUUUUCGGCUAAAAGGUCAUUAAAAUUAACCAUGUUCAAUUGUGAAAUGAUUAGCUAUGUUAUUUCAUGUAAUCUUAUACAGUAGAUUUCCCGCUCUACUCUUUAGAACCAGAUUGUGAAACAGAUUUUACUCAUUGGAUGAGAGAGAGAUUGGAUGGUAGAAAAUAUUAUUUUGUCAGGAUUAACAGUUUGUCAUAUUUCCCUUAGUCGGCUUCAGAAAUUUCCAGAAAUACUUAGAUCAUUCAGUUGUUAAAGCAUGCUAAAAGGGCCCAGCCUUUAUGACAGAAGUCACAUAGACGCACAUUUUAGAAUUUCCCCACUCACCACUCAACCCUGCAGUCAUACAUUUAUAAUGUCUCAUCUCCUUUGGUAAACUGUCAGAUCUGCAGACUCAAAAUCUAAUUGUUGACAUAUCACCAAAUGAAAAGUAACAAAAACAGGUAAACAUCACCAAAAAUCAAGAACAUUGUCUUAGCAUUUAAACUUUAAAAUGUAUUUAUACUACUCCGGAUUCAUUUUCUCCUUCCAUCAUCUUUAAGAUUGUUAUAAAUGAGUAUCUGCUCUACUGCUUAUGGUCCUGCAAGAACUAAAACUUCCAGGAGUAUUAAACUAUGGUUAUAAUUCAUGCAGUGUGUAACUCAAUGCUGAGAAGAAGCUACGCAUGCAUAUGUAUGCUCAAAAUAUAAGAAUUUAAGAAAAAUGUACAAUGAUGAAAAAUGCAUGGACUGAAAGUGAAAAGAGCUCAAAACAGCUCUGUAGCUGUGUGACUUUGCACAAAUCUCUUACAUUCUUUGGCUUCCAUCUCCUUGCCCUUAAAAUACAACUAAUCAAGCCUACAUUUUGGUCUGAGCAUGGAAUUAACAACAUUUCUGGCAGUGUUUUACAAAUUGAAAAAAGGUGUUCAAAUGUUAGUUUAUUAAGUAAAGCUGAAGCUGGAUAUACAGAUUAAAUAUAAGGAGAUAGCUAAAGUUCCAUGGGAACAAAUCAUAUCUUCCAUAUGUAAUCUUUUAUCAACCCACUUGACAAAUAUGCAUAUUUUUUGAGGGACUAUGAUGUGCCAGAUAUUGCUGGAAAGAUGUUUGGUGAACGAGACAGGUACCAUUGAGCUUUAGACUGGAACACAGACGGUAAACGGAAAAGCUUUAGGGCCGCUUCAGGCAGUGGUAAGUGAGAUACACAACAAAAGGGAGUCUUGGGGCACGGAGUUGGAUCGGGACCAGAUCAGGUAAGGACCUCCCACAGGAGGUGCCAUUCGGGCUAGGACCUGAACAAUGAGUCAGCUCAGUGAAUGAAGGCCAGAGGGGACCAUUCCAGGCCGAGGAAAUAGCCCCUGCAAAUCAUCCCACCUGAGUAGCUGGUAUAUACUCAGAUCCUUUACUUCUCAGUUUUCCCUCUUUCAUUGUUCUUCACCUCUGUGCUUACUCGUUUUCUAUGAGACUUUUAGCAUAUCCUCGCGGGAGAACUAUCUGAUUCUAGACUGCUGGAGUAAAGCUGCACCAGCUUUAAGAAGUCCAAAUCUUGUGUGGCUUCUUCAUCCUCCUGCCCUAAACCCCUGGGAGCCCAGUGUCUGCUUUCCAGGGCCACCAUUUAAGCUCCCAGGCUGAAAAGGAGUCUCUUGCUUCCAGGGAAAGGGCAAAAGAGAAGGAGACUGAGGCAUACCAUCUCCACUGGGAAAACAGAAAUGGAAUGAUUAGGGGGAGAAAAUGAGGAGUUCUCAGCCCUUCCUUCCUAAAGGCAGAAUGACACCCCAUCCCUUGCAGCUCCCAUUUAGUUCAAGCACCCAGAGCAGCAGCAGCUGCACUUGGGGUGAAUUGCGGAGCCCAGUACUCUGGUGAGAGGAAGUAUCAUUCAUUUCCAACAGAAGCAAGGCGUUCCUCACCCUGUCUGCUCUAUGUCAAACCAGAUGCAGUGGCCUGGCCCCACCGAGGUGCCUGGGCAGGGGACAUGUGGAUGUAUCAUUGUCUCCCAUGGGAAAGAAACCCUUUGUGUCUCUUGGCAUUGCCUUUGGACCAGUGUAGAGGGCUCUCUCUAGGGGAAGUACUUGUGAAAAAUCCAUUCCAUCUCUUAGGAUUGAACACGGUCCCCAUGCACUCUGGCUAUGAGAAGGCCAGGAGAGCACAUGAGCCUUGGGCUGGCCUCCCUUGAUGUGGUGGCUGCAAGAGUCACUUUGCGUAGGAUGGACAUAUAACCUCAUUCCCGAAAGAAGCUUCCUGCUUCUGCUUCCAGAGAUCUUCCAUUAGAAGCCUGCUUCAAGGAUGGAAUUCUGACCAUUUCUCAUAAAGAUGCCAGACUAUGCAAGAAUGCUGGAACCCAGAUUCCAACACAUAUCCCCAAGCCCAAUUUCCAUGAUCCAGAAGAACCCAAUUUUGCCCGUGUCUAUUCAGCUUCUUUAUACACACACACACACACACACACACACACACACACACACACACACACACAUAUAUAUAAUAUAUUUAUCAGGGAAAGUAGGGGUGAUGGAAGAAAAAUCAGCUCAAUAAGAGGGUUGAGCUAAAAACAUGAGUUUCCCUUGUGGCACUUUGCUUAAGUAUGUUUAAUAUAGGUAUAGUCUGUAUGGGUUCGUUCUGAUUCCCCCAGGAGGCAAGAGGUUUUGUUAAUAUUCAUUUGGGGAGGAGAGAGGAAAGAGAAAAAGAAAACAUGGGAUAAAGGAGAGAUUGUUAGAAAAGGUAAUCUGGUUAUUUAUUUAUAGUUUACUUAGCCAAAGGGACCUUAAAAAAGCUUUGAUAAGAGUGGCCCAAGUUUCUUCAAAGAUUAACUGGCAUUCUUUAAAAGGCAUCAGUUUUCUUUCGCACAGGUGUUUGGAGAGCCUGGACUGGAUGCCCACUAGAAUCCUGUGCUGGUCUGUAGAUUUCCUUAAGACCUUAAGACAUGCUGACAUCAUGGUCUCCUUUCUCAGAUUCCUUCUCUCUCUCUUUCUCCCCCACUCUCUCUCUCUCUCUCUGUCUCUCACUUUCUCUCCUUUCCUCCCUCCCUCCCUCCUUCCUUGUCCCUCCCUCGUCUGCCCAAUGUCUCCCAAUCUCUUUCUUUCUCUCUUUAGUUCUCCAGGUAAUUCUUACUCAAACUUGUACCAACUUGUUUUUGACUGACAGUGAACAGUGAGAGAGUUUUCUUCAUUUUGAGGAACCCUAAACACCUAUCUUUCCCAAGGCAACCUGUCAGGACUGAGCAUUUCUCUGACUUGACAUAACUCCCCAUCCAGCCAGGAGUCUGCACUCUUCCGUCUUUGCAGGCAGUAGCAGAAUCCCAUGGUAGCCAGGUGGGUGAAGGGGAGCGAGGACGUUCUACCUGCCUUGAAGAAGACACCUGACCUGCGGAUUGAGUGACCAGGACAAAUCCUUUGUCUUCAGAGCAAGAAGAGGAAUUGGUGCACAUCCAGAUAGCCACAUAUUGAGGGCAGGAACUUUUACUUUUCAAUUGGUAUGUUGACAGUGUGUAAAAAUAGAAGACCAAGAGAAUGCAGUUGAUUGGAGAUGAUAGUUAAUAGCUAGUAAAAAUUACAAGAAUGGAUGAUGGAAGUCAAAGGACAGAACUGAUACAUGAGUAUAAAAGCCAAGGAUGUCAUAUAUGUAGGUCAAGGCUUUGUAAUCUGAAUAUAAUGCCUGCGAGCUAGGACUGCCAGGCACUCUGUAUGUGCAGAAUAUGUCCUAUAUGGUAAUUUUUGAUUUGUGUGGACUUUUGAAGGUUACCUUAAAUGUCUUAUAUGCAACCUUUUUUCCCCGUAUAUUACAAAAUUGCCUUGGAAAUUAGACAAAUCUUCAAACUUAACUGAAACUCCUGUCCUGAAUAGUUAUUUGCCAAAUCUGACAAACUUAUAAAGAGUGUUCGCAUAAUCCCAAACUAUGCCCACUUCUAGAAGAGAAAUACAUGGUUCUUUAUUUGGAGUUUAUGAUAUUCAUACAACUAGUAGUAGAGUCAGGGAGUAUUCCAGAAAUGUAUUUCCCUGGCUUGCCCAAUUAUCAAGGGAAAAUUUCAGCUGAACACAGGAAACCCAGUCAACCCAGUCUUUGACACUCCUGUGUGCAGUGUGGAGCGGCGUGCACUGUCUGAGCCUCCAUAGUGAGGAAUGGUCUUCCCUGGGGCUUCACCCUAGAAGGAUGGGCUCAAAGUCACCCUCCACGUGGGUGCACAGGAGCCCAGGUUCUCAAGCCCCAGUUGCAGAAUUAGGCUGAUGGUUUUACAGAAGUGUCCUCCUAAAAGUCCAUCACCAAGUUUUGUUUGGUUAACAACCCUUGCCACAUGAUGUAAUACUUAGCUAUAAUUUUAUCUUUAUUCAACGCCAAAUCUUAUCUAGUGUCCAUGCCCUCCUACCUACUUAAAAUUUCUAAUUUCACCCUCAAAAAUAUUUAAGUAAAUAAAAGUUAGAUCUACUCAAAAUUAGACUCCAAGGGAAUUACUAUCGUUGAUUAUAGAGUAUCUAUUUCCUUAAAACAAAAAAUCAGAAGUUGUUGACUCUGAGCUAGGAAAUGCGUGAUCUCUCAGCUGACUGUUACUUUAUGCAAAUUUACUUAAUAUUAUAGAAAAGUAAAGAGCUUCCAAGAAGGUGAUUGGAGGGAAGUUCAAAGGGAAGAUUUUUUUCAUUCGCUGUAGUUUUAGCUGUAUUCUUUCAUCUGCAAUCAAAUCUCAGGAUUAAGGAUGUCGUAUUAAAUCAAAUCAUUACAGGAAGUAUGACUGUAUCAGCGGCUUUUUACACAAACAAACCUCCAGAUCACAAAAGGAAGCCGUGUUUGUGUGCUGACGCGAAGUGUUACAUAGCAGCCAGGAGAGGAAGGAUAGCAGCCGACUUGGAUCCAUUUUUGAGGAAUGAUUUCUGUAAGGUGUCAUGGAAUAGUAAGUUACAGAAAGGAGGCUUUUGUAAACAGAAUCUCCAUCCCAGAAAGAUGGACUCCAAAAUACUACUUAAUGAAAUUCAUGGGAACGUUAUGGUAAUGGAAAUCCCAAAUGACAUGCAGAUUUUAUAUGCAAACAAACCCACUACUUAUAACUCCUGGUAGUGUCUACUAACCAAAAUCUUGAUCACACUUCGGUCUCUUCCUAUAUAUAGAACCACAUCUGAUCCUUAUACAGCAUUGCAAGAUUUAUAUCCUUGCUUUCCCAUGGUUCUUAAGUGAGUCUUAAGCUUGGAUUUGCUCCAGCAGAAUGGUGGUUCGUGUUUCUCAAGGCUGAGCUACUAUUUGGUGCAUGUCGGAAAUCUCACACUAACUGUGGAUACUCUGUCAUCACUGAACCCAAUCAUACAAUGACCAGACAGCUUUAAAUACCUACUUUUGUAUCCUAUGAAUUCAUCCCUUUAUUUGUCAAAUCCUUUAUUUCCAUAUGUGGCUCUGUCACCUCUUUUUUCUCUUCAAAUAAAUGGAAUUACUGUAACUUGUGAAACAAUGGCAAACACUAUAAAGCUAAUUUUACAGUCUUG